rnacentral:rRNA from 1 species
AGAUUGAACGCUGGCGGCAUGCUUUACACAUGCAAGUCGAACGGUAACAGGCCGCAAGGUGCUGACGAGUGGCGAACGGGUGAGUAAUGUAUCGGAACGUGCCCAGUCGUGGGGGAUAACGCAGCGAAAGCUGCGCUAAUACCGCAUACGAUCUAUGGAUGAAAGCGGGGGACCGUAAGGCCUCGCGCGAUUGGAGCGGCCGAUAUCAGAUUAGGUAGUUGGUGGGGUAAAGGCUCACCAAGCCAACGAUCUGUAGCUGGUCUGAGAGGACGACCAGCCACACUGGGACUGAGACACGGCCCAGACUCCUACGGGAGGCAGCAGUGGGGAAUUUUGGACAAUGGGCGCAAGCCUGGAUCCAGCAAUGCCGCGUGCAGGAAGAAGGCCUUCGGUGUAAACUGCUUUGUACGGAACGAACGGUCCUGGUUAAUACCUGGGCUAAUGACGGUACGUAAGAAUAAGCACCGGCUAACUACGUGCCAGCAGCCGUA